rnacentral:rRNA from 2 species
CUGACGAACCACGAUGUCAUUAAUUUGGUGCUGUGGGGAAUCAGGACUGUUACUUUGAAAAAAUUAGAGUGUUUAAAGCAGGCUAAAGCUUGAAUAGAUUAGCAUGGAAUAACGAAAUAGGACGUUUGAUCUUAUUUUGUUGGUUUCUAAGAUCGACGUAAUGAUUAAUAGGGAUAGUUGGGGGCAUUAGUAUUCAAUUGUCAGAGGUGAAAUUCUUGGAUUUAUUGAAGACUAACUACUGCGAAAGCAUUUGCCAAGGAUGUUUUCAUUAAUCAAGAACGAAAGUUAGGGGAUCGAAGACGAUCAGAUACCGUCGUAGUCUUAACCAUAAACUAUGCCGACUAGGGAUCGGAUGAUGUUAAUUUUUAAUGACUCAUUCGGCGCCUUACGGGAAAC